GACGAACGCUGGCGGCGUGCUUAACACAUGCAAGUCGAACGAAGUGGCGAACGGGUGAGUAACGCGUAAUCAACCUGCCCUUCAGCGGGGGACAACAGUUGGAAACGACUGCUAAUACCGCAUACUGAAGGAGGGGAUUGCGUCCGAUUAGCUAGUUGGAGGGGUAACGGCCCACCAAGGCGAAGAUCAGUAGCAUGUCUGAGGGGGUGAACGGGCACAAUGGGACUGAGACAAGGCCCAGAAUCCCACGGGAGGCAGGAGUUGGGAAUGUUCCGCAAUGGACGAAAGUCUGACGGAGCAAAGCCGCGUGAGUGAUGACGGCCUUCGGGUUGUAAAGCUCUGUUAAUCGGGACGCGGUACCGGAAGAGAAAGCCACGGCUAACUACGUGCCAGCUGCCGCGGUAAUUC
rnacentral:rRNA from 1 species